UUUGGAAAACAUAAUAUGUUUCUAAAUUUAAUUUUUUCAUUUUGCCUCUCCAAUUUCAGUCCCGAGGUUCUAUUCACGUUCAUUUGCGCAAAUCCCUAAUUUUUCUUUCCUUUCUUUACAGUCUCUCUGCAUCAUCUCUUUGAACGUUCUCUUCCCUAAUUUCUCAUCCCUUCGAUCGAAGAGGCAAAGCUAGUGGGGGAUAGCGAAAUCACGCAAUGGUGGUGGCUCGUGGGUGUUUUCGGUGGUGGAAUUCGCGAUUUGGGUGAAAGGUGUAGCGGUGGUGGAGCGAACUCAACGGAGUUACAGCGACCAUUGCGGGUCAAAGAAGGAGGCGUUGCAUUGGCACUGUCUAUGCCUGCGACGACUCCAGGCGCUACCGGUGGUAAACUUGAGAGUUGCUUCAUUUCCCUGACAGAAAAUUUCACGAUUUCUCCGACAUUCACCGGGAAAUUCAGGUCAUUGAAUAAAUAAUAACGAAGAAGUAGAAUAUUAUCAUGUUCGAUUGCCGUUUGCCUUGUAUUUUGAAUGACUAUUGAAUGGUACAGUUCUGCUUUCCCUUUUGUAACAUUACUUUUGCUUGUCGGCAUCUUAGUGAAAGGUAGAAGAGAACCAUUUUUCCUAGAUUAUUUCGGUUUUUCCCAUCUCCUCAUGCUUCAUUGAGAAAUCUAUCACUUGGUUCUGUAAAUCAAUACAUUAUGUUAAUGCCUUCUUUGCUAUUCAUGACCAAGUUUGUGCGGCAUUUGUUCAGCUAAUCGAAGUCCGUCCAUCUUUCUUGCAGCCACAUUUAAGGAAUGUGANUGAACACAUGUUACAAGUCAACAAGGACACAGAUGAAGAAGUAGCCCUCGAAGCCUGUGAAUUUUGUUUCAAGGUAAAAAAGAAGAAGCUUUAUUGGGAAUGAUAUAUUUGAGACCCUCAGUACUCAAGCUCGCAAGAAAGUAGAAAUUGAAGAUAUAAUUGUUAAUGUAUGUGUAUUUGCUUUUGAUUUGUUGCAUCUAAAUAUGGCCAAGAACUUCUUCAGGAAAACCUUGGAGUCCGUAGAGAGGUUUUGGAGAAGAUUGUUCCCUUGUGUGGGUGGAAGGAGAUGCUGAAAGCUUGAGUUUCCAAAAUGAUUCAAUGGAUGGUUAUACUACUGCACUUGGGAUAAGAAAUGUCACACACAUAGUUAUUUCUUUUAUUUUAAAUGCUAGUAGAUUGUAGAAACUUGACUACAAUGUAGUGUAGAUUAAUGUUAUAGUUGGAUUUAAUAUAUGGUUUGAUAUUCAAAUUAUGUAUUAAAUAUUAUUACACAAUUUAAUGUUUGAAAUGAAUUUCAUUAUGUUAAUUUAA